CGUGGAGGAUGAAGGAGCUAUGCUUCGUAACUCCUUUUAUGGGGAAGGAAGAUCUGACGGUACCCCAUGAAUAAGCCACGGCUAACUACGUGC
rnacentral:rRNA from 1 species